CCUACGGGUGGCAGCAGUGAGGAAUAUUGGUCAAUGGGCGGAAGCCUGAACCAGCCAAGUCGCGUGAAGGAUGACUGCCCUACGGGUUGUAAACUUCUUUUAUAAAGGAAUAAAGUGAGGCACGUGUGCCUUUUUGUAUGUACUUUAUGAAUAAGGAUCGGCUAACUCCGUGCCAGCAGCCGCGGUAAUACGGAGGAUCCGAGCGUUAUCCGGAUUUAUUGGGUUUAAAGGGAGCGUAGAUGGGUUGUUAAGUCAGUUGUGAAAGUUUGGGGCUUAACCGGAAAAGUGCAAUUGAUACUGGCAGCCUUGAGUACAGUAGAGGUAGGCGGAAUGCGUGGUGUAGCGGUGAAAUGCUUAGAGAUCACGAAGAACUCCGAUGGCGAAGGCAGCUUACUAAAAGGCCACUGACAUUGAUGCGCGAAAGCGUGGGUAUCAAACAGGAUUAGAUACCCGAGUAGUC
rnacentral:rRNA from 1 species